rnacentral:RNase_P_RNA from 1 species
CGAGCCGACCGGACGGUCGCUGCGGCGCUCCCUCGUGAGGGCCGCAGAGGAAAGUCCGGACUCCACAGGGCAAGGUGGUGGGUAACGCCCACCCGGGGUGACCCGCGGGACAGUGCCACAGAGAACAGACCGCCGGCCGGCCAGGUCUUCGACCCGGGCGGCAGGCAAGGGUGAAACGGUGGUGUAAGAGACCACCAGCGCGACGGGUGACCGGCGCGGCUUGGUAAACCCCACCCGGAGCAAGGUCGAGAGGGUGACGAGCCUUCGAGCGAGGCACCUGCGCGGACGUUCGAGGGCUGCCCGCCCGAGUCCGCGGGUAGACCGCACCAGGCCACCGGCAACGGUGGUCGCAGAUGGAUGACCGUCGCUCGCCGCUCGCGGUGGGCACAGGAUCCGGCUUACAGGUCGACUCGUCCG